GCCCGAAGUAACAGCCUCCUCCUCGGACAGUGUUGGCCUUGCAGCCCUCCUGAGCCAUGGGAUCACUCCACAGAAUAUCUACAACCUAGGAAGACCAAGGAUGUGAUCACGAUGACUGGAAGGAACUCAAGCAGCCAUCUUGGAUCAUGAUGCACUGUGGCAGAUCAGCAAGAAUUCCAAGUUCCUAAGACUGCAGCGAUGUUGCUACAGACCUUCGUUUACACAAGAGAUCAAUAUUUAACAGAGACCUUUGGACCUUUCUGUCACCUCAGCCAAAGAGGUUUGCAGGGUGAGCAAGACCUAUCCGCUGGACCAGUUCACAACCCGUCGUGUGCAUCUGUCUCGGCUGGAGUGUGGCUUUUGUCCUCAUGGAUGCUGCUGAGCAAAUGGAGAAGCCUGGCUGCUGGGGUUCUCCACGGGAGACGUGUGUAUGGAUGGAAAUAAUAAUGAUAUAAGCCUUGAAACUUGCUCGAGAACCGAGAAAUAAAAUGUCUGCUCACACAAAAGGCUGGGUGGUGCUGUGGGAUGUUCUGUAUGGCAAAUAUGUUGCUCUGAUUGGUCAAUAAAUAAAACACUGAUUGGCCAUUGGCUAGGCAGGAAGUGUAGGCGGGACAAGGAGGAGAAUAAAGCUGGCAAGUGGAAGGCUGAGUCAGAGAGACACUGCCAGCCGCCAUGAUGAGAAACAGCAUGUGAAGAUGCCGGUAAGCCACGAGCCAUGUGGCAAGAUAUAGAUGAAUGGAAAUGGAUUAAUUUAAGCUGCAAGAACAGUUAGCAAGAAGCCUGCUGUGGCCAUACAGUUUUUAACCAAUAUAAGUCUCUGUGUUUACUUGGUUGGGUUUGAGUGGCUGUGGGACUGGCGGGUGAGAGAGAUUUGUCCUGACUGUGGGCCAGGCAGGAAAACUCUAGCUACAAAUGGCGUCCAACGUGGUGGCAAGAGUUUCCACCUAAAAACUGAGAAAAAAGAUUCUAAAACGGAGCUAAAAACAGUUCCUGUCUCUCUCAAAUGAGCGGCAGCUGCUGGUUUGAGCUACUUGAGGGUUCCUAGCGCAUGCCCUAUGGCGGGAAUGAGGCCUCUGCAAGUGGCACAUUAAGCUGCGUGUGGUAGAUUUAGCCUUUGCUAGUACAAAACAAAAAAAAAGAGGUUUCUGGGCUACACACUGCUUGGAUAAAAGCAUAGACCCACGAUAGCUCCCAGAGCUGGCGGUAAACCACGGCCAUGUUGGGAAGCUGAGGUGGGCGGAGCCAGCAGCCACAGCUGCUGCAGCUUAAAGCAAUAGAUUCACAAUAAGACAGAUUCAGAUGUAAUAGUUUACAAUGUGAGUAAAAUAUACAUAGGCUUGAAAGAGACAAAAAAGGUGAUAUAUACAGUUAUAGAAACAAAUACAUAGUUUAAAAAAAUAGUCUUUAAAGAGACAGUAAAAUUAAUAUAAAAAAUAAGCCACGUGAAGAUGAAUAUUACACAGAGAAUCUGGAUUGUGUUCUCUUUGGGAUUUUUAACUGCAGAAAAACGUUUGAUCGUAAAAGAUGUUGAGUUAAACCAAUAUGUGUAUUUUGAAGAUACCUUGACUUCAAAAUUUGGAUAUAAGGACAUGUUGCUUUGGAAAAGAGUCUCUGCUUUUGUUUCCACAGAAAGCAAGAGGCUAUGGAUUUGUUCCAGAUUAAGAUACAUCAGGUUUGACCAGCCAAGACCCCCUGAAAGGUCUCUGAUGACACCAUGGCCCACAUGAUCCAACAUCCAGAAUGGUUUAAAGGCAACUGGCUCAGACGAUACAGCCUCACGGACUACUCCAUAAUCCUAAAAUUUUCUUUGUGUCCCCAUAAGAUACAGCGCCCCCCUCCAGCAGGAAGUAGUAAGAGAAGCUACGCCCAAAUUCCCAAAUUAUAUGUAAUUUUACUUUGUUAAGGUUAAAACCUUCCUUUUUGAAAAAAAAAAAAGGGGGGGGGAAAUGCUGUGGGAUGUUCUGUAUGGCAAAUGUGUUGCUCUGAUUGGUCAAUAAAUAAAACACUGAUUGGCCAUUGGCUAGGCAGGAAGUGUAGGCGGGGCAAGGAGGAGAAUAAAGCUGGCAAGUGGAAGGCUGAGGCAGAGAGACACUGCCAGCCGCCACGAUGAGAAACAGCAUGUGAAGAUGCCGGUAAGCCACGAGCCAUGUGGCAAGGUAUAGAUUCAUGGAAAUGGAUUAAUUUAAGCUGUAAGAACAGUUAGCAAGAA